UGGCCAUGCUCCAUAAGAGAUGAAAGAGGCAGCCGAAAAACUCCCACUUCUAGGCCUACUGCUGUCUCCAACUUUUACCAAAAUCAAAGACCCUCAUCUUCACGCAACUCUCAUUCCUCUAUACACACUCCCUUUCUUUCACCUUCAUUGACAGAACACACACACACGCCUAAGCAGCUAAAGUUUAAAGAGUUCAGAUCCGAAAUUCAAGAUUGUUUCAAGUCUGGAAGAUCAAUUUAAGCUCAAAUCCUUGUUUGAUUCUACUGUAUGUUGCUGAAUCUGCAGACUGUUGUGUUCGGCUGAGCUCCAUUCCUUUACCUUUGCCUUGAUUUGGUUGUUUCCCGUCUUUUGCACGCUUAGGUACACAUCGGCGAACUUGUAUUAUUAUUAUUUUUUUGAAUUCUAGCAUGUUUAAAUUUCUAUGCACUUUUAUGAAAUCCAGAUCUGUUUUUGUUUUAUCUUACAUGAUGGUAAUCUUUUUGAUAAAAUGUUUGAUUAUGAUAACCCAUUAGUAUGUAAGUUAGAUUGUGAAAUUUUCUUAAAUUUGUCCACUUAUGUGUCCAUUGAAUGCUCCUGCUUUUUAAUUAGAGCUUUAAAGGGGUAACGAUUCUCUUGAGAUUGAGGUACACAGUACAUUAUAGUCAAUGAAAUUAUGAGUUUAUGUUCAAGAUGCCAAGGCACUUAUGACGUUGUUUCAUCAAGGUUUUCUUUAGCAUAAUGAUUUUAUAGAAUUUUCUUAAAAGUUGGUAUAUGUUUUUUUAUUUUUAUUUUGGUGAGUUUUGUUUUCUACUCAUUUCUCCCUUACCAUAGCUUAUUUAGUUUAAAAUCACAAUUCAAAAGUACAAUGUUAUAUUUGAGAUUUGAAAGAAAAGAUUGAAGUUGGAUUUGUGCUUGGUUAGUAAUGAAAAGGAAUUCCCGUGGUCCAAUAUAUUCCGACUGUUAUCCUUUGCUUAAUUGCAUAAAGAAUUGAUCUAAAAUUGUAAACUUUUUGAAAUGAGCAGUGUACUUAUUUGGCACAAGUUUUUUCUUGCUUUGCAUUGUAGUUUCGUCCAUAUUCACUUCUGAAAUCAUUUGAAUUAGCUAAAUGCGUUUUUGCAAGUUUCGUGUAGUAACAACAUCAAGGGAAGUGACAUAAUGACCUUUUAAAGAUGUUUACGUCCUAAAUGAAUCAUAUAUAUCCUUGCUCACUUCGUUCAUUUCUUCGCUGUAAGUUAAUAAUGCUAUACACGUGUACACGUUCGCGCGACAUGGUUAUGAUCCUAACAAAUAAAUUGAGGUAUGCGUUCGCGCAACUUCGACCACACUUUCUUAAUAUUUAAUAAAGCGUGAUGAAUUGUUAAAAUAAAAACGCAGCUCCCUUUUGUUAAAAUAAGUGAGGUGUGCCAUGCCAAACAAAAUUUAUAAUUCAUGGCCCUUGUAAGAUUAGAUUAAGAACUAACACUUAUAGAAAAUAUUUGAGGUGUGCCAUAAAUAAAUUAAACCAUCCAUGACCCUCACAAAUGUUGCUUCUUAAAAAUUGAAAUCGUAGUUUGCUUUAGGCUCGAUUUAGACUAGUAUUGUGAUUAUGUAUACGUUCGCGUAACAUAAUUGCGAAUUUAAUUCUAAUAAUAACUCGAGGGAUGCGUUCGCGUAACUUCAACCGAACUAUCUUCAUAAAAUAAACAAAGCGUUACUAAUUGUGGACACGUUCGCGUGACAUGAUUUUGACGCGCUAAGGGAAAAGAGUUUACGUACGCGUUACUUAAUUCUUUAAUUACGAACAAAUCAAGUGAUUAAAAGCACUAACAAAGAUAAAUGCACAUAGGUCCUAAAAAUAAGUAGUUAAACAAUUUAAGCCAAGUAAUAAUCACUAAGCGAUCAUGCUAGAACCACGGAACCCGGGAAUGCCUAACACCUUCUCCCGGGUUAAUAGAAUUCCUUAUCAUGAAUUUCUGGUUCGCAGACGUUUAAGAGAAAGUCAAAACUUUCUCGAUUUGGGAUUUAAAAUAAACUGGUGACUUGGGACACCAAAUCAGCUAUUCCAAGUGGCGACUCCGAUAAAUUAAAUAAUCGCAUUUCGAAUAAUGUCACUUUAAUUGGAAAAACUCUCAUAUACCCUCGGGGUGUAAAAAAGGAGGUGUAACAACACCCUGAUGUCGGGCUUUCUUUCCGCGCUGUUGUUUUGAUUUAAAAUCCUUAUGUAGGUUUAUUGUUAAAUAGCUUUGGUUUUAUCUUAAAAAUGAAAAUAUUGAUUGGUUUUGGUAGUGUGUCGGCUUGCCUAGUACCACGUUAGGUGCCAUCAUGACAGGGUUAGUUUUAGGUCGUGACACACUGCCCAAAAGAACUCUUCAUUUAUGCGGAAAAACCAUCGCGUUCACGAUGAAGAAAAUGAAUUGCCACCAAAAUGCCUUACGCGUUCGCGAAGUUACCCACGCGAGCGCGAUGCGCAAAAAUGCCACACAACGUGAAAACAUCCCACGACUCGCGGAUGCGAAGAAGAGUGCUCCAGCUCCUAUCUCACCAUCAUGAACCCGAUUACACAAACGCAAACGUGAAGUUCAAGUCCCACAUGCACUACGAACAUGACUCAAUACUCGCGAACACGAAGAGAUAAAAUAGGCCAGUCCAAAUCCUUGUUCGCGAUCGCGAUGACUCCGACGCGAACGCGAUUCACUACUGUUGAUACCUAAUUUUCCCUCAUAUAUUUCUAAAAAUGCAUAUAUACUCUCAAAAUAUUGCAUGAGCAUCAGCCAAUAUUUUUCCAUAUUUUUUUGUAUUUUUAAAAGGAUUUUAAUUAGUUUAUUCCAACAUUUUAUUAUCUAAAUAAUUACUAAUUGCAUCACAAAGAAUUUUAUAAUGGUUUAUUACUUGAUUUGUAUCAUUUAUAUUAAGCUUUAAUCAUUUUCUGCAUAAUUAUAUUUGUAUCUUUAGGCUAUAAUUGCAAUAACUUUGCAAUAAUAGCCCGUAUAUGCAUAAUUACAUUAUUUACACGAAAAAUGACUUUUUAUAUUUUUAUAAUAUUAAGUAAUUAUUUUAAAUCAUUUUCAUAUAUAAAUAGCAUUUUUAUCAAUUAUAAAUUAUUUUAUUAAUUUAAGUGGGUAUUUAAAACAUAACCCUUUUUAGUUAAAUUUCGGUCCUCCCAGCCCAAUACUAGCCAGCCCAAUUAUCCUAACCUAUAACGCAAUACCCAAACCCAAGUACCCAUACCCGCCCUGCCUAAACCUAAUCUUGGCCGUUGAUCUCAGAAGAUCAACGACCCUAAAUUCCCCAACCCCUUAUAAUAUAUCAAAAACCCCCCAAACCCUAUCUCAUUUCUCCCAACCCGCCGCCUCUGGAUCCCUUCUCUCAUCUCUUCUCUCUCUCUCACCCCCUCUAACCCUAGCCCGCCGUCAGUGAUAUCCCCCUUGAUUCAUGGGGUUUUCCUCUGAUUUCAUGCCUUAUCUGGUCUCACCUCUCUACUGGUUAUAUAAUUUUUAUGUUGCUUGAUGUGAAUCUCAAGAGACUCGAACCAAAUCUAGUUCAAAGUCUCUCAUUUCUCGAUUAUUCCGUCUAUGUUCACUCCGAUACUUGUGAGUACGAGUAUUUUCGUAUUCUAGGGGUCUCAAAUCUCCGGUUCAAACUAGAUUUGAGUCGCUUCUGUCUAUUUUCAUGAACCUAGCGAUUUUCUGGUUGAAUCCGUUUAGAUCUCUUUAGAUCUGAAGCAAUUUUGCGUUUGUUUGGUAUUUCUCUCUUAAAAUUUUCUAUUUUUACUAUUAUUAUUGACCGAUUUCAUUUACCCUAAAAGCUAAUGUUUUGAUUUCCGUUGGAUUUAUGCAAAAAUGGGUUUUAGCGUUUAAAUGUUUUCAUCUCUGAUUUUCUUAUUUACUUUUUCGAGUGAUUUUUACUUGAUUUAAUUAAGCUCCAUCUAUAUGUCUUUGUAUUUCUUAGGGUUCCGAUUAUUUGACUAUUUAUUCUACUGUCUUUUGCCCGUUUACCUUUAAUUCUGUCAAUUAAGUGUUAAUUGAUUUACUUAUCUAAAUUAGGGUUUGAAUUCAGUACUCGCAUUUCCUUAUUAAGAUUUUAACUGUUCUUACCUUAUUUAUGUGAUUUAUUAUCCGUACUAUUGGCUUGAUUUUGUGUUUUGACUCCUAAUUGAUUUUUGAAUUAGUUCUUACCUUAUUUAACCUUAUUCUUAAUUAUUGAUUGAUUUCAUAUGAGAUUUUCCUUAAAUUAAGUGAUACUUACUCGAUUUUGUCCUGUUAAUUGAUUCAUGUUGACCUUAAUUGAUUGUUAAUUGAUUUAUCAUACCUUGUUUGUGUGUGAUUGGUUCGCUACCUUAUUUGUUUUACUCUACUGCAUGCUAUAAAAGCCACUCCCUUGUCCUAAUCUUACACAGACACACUGAGACACUUACACACUUUACAACUUAAAACUCUCAAGCUUUCUGUUCUCUGAAAAAACUGAGUUCUCUCUUCCGGUUAUUCUAAUUUACUGCACUGUCUGGCCGGCUAAAGCCAAGGCUAGAUAAUCUGGAUUUAAAUUGCCAUUUCAUUCCGGUUUACUUCUUUCUCAACUGGUAUGCUUUAAUCGUUGUUAUCCUAUUAUGUUCUAUGUGUUUAUUUAGUUAGUUUAUUUCAAAACCUCAACAUGAUUCUGUUUGCUAUAUGACUGUAUGAUUCCACCUAGUGAUAAUACUAAACUAAGUUAUCUCCAAUAAUGUGAAGCCCUAUCCAAUUCAGCUGUAUGUUCCAUGAUCUGACUAUUGUUAGGUACUACAGGCAUGUAAUAUGUGGCUAAUUCUGUUUGUUAGUUCAAGUGUCCUUGCUUUCUAUGAUUACUUUGAAUGCUGGUAUGAACAUCUAAUCUGAACAAAUAUCAACUUAUUUGAAUUAUAUGUUGAACAUAAGUUUUUUUUGUUCUUUGAUGCAGUUUUGUUACUAUUUUGUAUGUACUAAUUUCUAAACAUAUUUCCCCUUACCCUCUAUGUACUGGUUUUCAAAAUUCUACUCUUAGUCCUUUAGGUUCCUACCACCCUCAGUGUGACCACUGCCUAGGGUCCUUGAGACUUCUCUGAACUCUAACACAUUGGGGCUGGUCUUCCAAUCUUUUAUGAACUGUUUCUUUGAGUGUGGUCCUGGCGUGAGCAUUGCCCGGGGUCCCUGAGGUCCUUGGAAACUUUCACACACCAGGAGCCCAAUUUUAUGUGCUAUGGAUGUACUAUCAUUAUGCUUCAAAGUUUCUAUGUUUGAAGGCCUGGUUCCCAAGUUCAUAUUGGGCCUAUGAAGGCUCCCUAUAGUGUAAUGGAUACUGUUAUAUAAUUUAUUCAUUUUGGGCUGUAAUAAUCUCUGUAAUAAAUAGAUUUGGGUUUAUUAGUG
rnacentral:lncRNA from 1 species